CCAAUCUCAGUUCGGAUUGUAGGCUGCAACUCGCCUACAUGAAGUUGGAAUCGCUAGUAAUCGCGAAUCAGAAUGUCGCGGUGAAUACGUUCCCGGGUCUUGUACACACCGCCCGUCACACCACGAGAGUUUACAACACCCGAAGUCAGUGGCCUAACCGCAAGGAGGGAGCUGCCUAAGGUGGGGUAGAUGAUUGGGGUGAAGUCGUAACAAGGUACC
rnacentral:rRNA from 1 species